UCUGCCAGAGGAUAGUAGCUAUUCCGUUGGUCUUAGGCA
rnacentral:tRNA from 1 species